rnacentral:lncRNA from 1 species
AUGGAAUUUUCUAAAUGGCAUGCCUCGGAAUCUAAGGAUCAAUUCAAAAGCAAAUAAAGUGAGGGCAUGCAAUUAGGGGUUUAUUUACAAGUGCCAUUUUUGUACAUAUGUGUUUCUGCAGAAUCCCAAGAUAAGGAAGCUAGUUAACUUCAAAGCAUCCAUAAGCAAGUCAAUCCAGGAGAUAUGGAAGAGACGAUUAAAGUCACAGAACUUAUUGGAAACACCCCUAUGAUAUAUCUCAACAAAAUCGCGGAAGAGUGUGCUGCCUUGCUUAAAGAACUUAUCCUGUAGGUAAGUAUUGGAGGUGCCUAGUUUAGCUUUUAGCCUAGAAAAUUGUAAUCUGACCAAAAAAAAAAAUUUGAUUCUAUUUGAUCCCAAAACCUACUAUUAUCCCAAUUCUAGAAAAAAAUCAACUUAACAACAAAGUAUUCCAAACUUUCUCAUCAAAAAUAUAGAAACAUACCCAUACAAACACAUGAAAAUGGGGCAAUGGCAAACGAAAAUUGUCUUUGAAUGAUUAAUAAACAAUCCAAUUCAAAGCGUUCGUAGAAGAACUGAUCGAAACAAACUCACCCCUACUGAUUACUGUCACUGACUAACAAUCACAAAACCAAGCAAAAACUCAGUUAGACAAUAGACUAUCCAGCAGAUUGAGAAUGUUGCAAACCAAAGUGGAAAAUUCUAUAUUUAAAAUUGUGGUGAUUUUCUUCUUAAGCAGUGCAGAAAUAGGGCAAGUCAUCAGCAUGCCUAAUAGUUCAAACAAUUUCCAACCUACUGCAUGUAUCAUCUCGAUUAGCAACUGCAAAUAGACGUUAAAAUAAACCAACACACGAGUACCCAAGUUUUAGUUCAAAAUUGGCCUAAGAAAAUCAGUGGCGGAAUUGACAUGCUGGAAACAUGAACAUUCACUUAAUCUCCUCAAACAUGGUGAACCACAAAGAACAAAUAUUAUCAAUUGGGAACUUCAACAGAUUCAGCCGAACAAUUAAUGUGAAGAUGAUUAUAAGAUCAUAGAAAAGGGAAUUUUUUUUGUUUCUGUUUUCUUUUCUUUUGAAAAAAAUGUAGACUAGAGCUGGCACACACACGAAUAAAGUUUCAGCCAAAACAACCAUGAGAGACUCCUUCAAAUCACAUUAUAAUCUCGGGGCAGAACAUAACAAACGCACCACCUAUGACUCAAGGGUUGCAACAGAAGGAUAAGUUCAAACACUACGUCUCAGCAAGACAAACUUUCGAAUGCUCGACCUAAUCGACUAAUGAACAAAAGACUCUGACCUCCUUCUCAUGAGAGCUUAUUCAAAUAGAAACCAACAACACCUCAAAUGCACCGCUUCAUGCUUACACCAUCACGUUCAGAAUCAAGCAAAACCAUGAUUCAAAUUCCUUGUUUUAGAGCAGCUUACUAACAGAUUAAACAACCACAACAGGACAACUGUGCAAACAAUAAGCGAACCAGUCGACUUGAAAUAAGAGUAGUGUGAAAUCUUCAAAAAUCCGUGCAAUCUCAAAACUUAAAAGAAACAUUCAUUUGAAAGCGAUGAAAUCUUGACUCAAAUGAAAAGCUUGAGACCAGAAUAACAGCUAAAGCAUACGAACACAGAGAACGACCCUUCAAACUUAACUUUUGCUGACUGAACAUACUCAAACACAUACCACCAUUGCGAAUAGAUUCAUUUGAAGAUAACACAAAACAGACCAUUCCAGACUGAAUAUCAUAGUUCAAAAACACUGAAAUAAGACAUAGUUACAUAGAAUAAAAGAGAGGAAACUGGAACCUGAAGUUGCAAAUCUUCUUCUAUAACGAUUAUAAGCCCGACAAUACAAACUCUCGAAUCCAAAUCCUGCGAGGUUCAGAAACAAAUCAGUGAGGCGACAAUAAAACCCAGCUUGAACUUUAAUUUUAUCUCCUCAGAACUCAAAUUUGUAUUCAGAAAAAUAAGAAGAAGAAAUUCUGUCUAUGUUUCUCUUAAGCUUUAAUGACCUCGUCAAAAAAAUCAACUCCGACAAAUCCAUUUCUUCAUAGAAAAAUUUUCAAACUCUUUUCUCUGAAUUUUUUUUAGCCGCCCCUCACAAAAUUGGAUAAAACCUCUGUUGAAGACCAAUCAUUGAUGAAUGUGGGGAUCAGAUUGAGUGAAAUCAAUCCAACACCUCACACUCAUCCAGCAUUUCGUCUCCAGACGAUUCCAAUCAUGAGAUAGGUCUAAAAAACGAGCGGGGUAUCCCUCAUAGGGAAUCCUGGCAUCAGAAAACUGUUAGCAACUGCAAGAGGAGAGGUAGAGGGACGCAUGGGUUAGGGCUUGAUCCUCACUCGCAUCAAUUUUGACGGUUUUUGGGACGAAUUUAGGGCUUGGCUCGUGUGUUCUUCAAAGAAGAAUAACAGUACGCGUUUUGAUUAGGGAUUUUGGCUUCAGUUCCUUUAUGCUAUGGAAUGGGG